rnacentral:rRNA from 1 species
UACGGAGGGUGCAAGCGUUGUCCGGAUUUAUUGGGUUUAAAGGGUGCGUAGGCGGCCCGUUAAGUCAGCGGUGAAAUCCCGGGGCUCAACCCCGGAACUGCCGUUGAUACUGGCGGGCUUGAGUUCGGUGAAGGCGGGCGGAACUGGCGGUGUAGCGGUGAAAUGCAUAGAUACCACCAAGAACCCCGAUUGCGUAGGCAGCUCGCUAGGCCGAAACUGACGCUGAGGCACGAAAGCGUGGGGAGCGAACAGG